rnacentral:rRNA from 1 species
GACGAACGCUGGCGGCGUGCUUAACACAUGCAAGUCGAACGGAAAGGCCCUGCUUUUGUGGGGUGCUCGAGUGGCGAACGGGUGGGUAACACGUGAGUAACCUGCCCUUGACUUUGGGAUAACUUCAGGAAACUGGGGCUAAUACCGGAUAGGAGCUCCUGCUGCAUGGUGGGGGUUGGAAAGUUUCGGCGGUUGGGGAUGGACUCGCGGCUUAUCAGCUUGUUGGUGGGGUAGUGGCUUACCAAGGCUUUGACGGGUAGCCGGCCUGAGAGGGUGACCGGCCACAUUGGGACUGAGAUACGGCCCAGACUCCUACGGGAGGCAGCAGUGGGGAGUAUUGCACAAUGGGCGGAAGCCUGAUGCAGCAACGCCGCGUGCGGGAUGACGGCCUUCGGGUUGUAAACCGCUUUCGCCUGUGACGAAGCGUGAGUGACGGUAAUGGGUAAAGAAGCACCGGCUAACUACGUG